rnacentral:rRNA from 1 species
GCAUGGAGCCGACCUUGAAAUACCACCCUUUAAUGUUUGAUGUUCUAACGUGGACCCGUAAUCCGGGUUGCGGACAGUGUCUGGUGGGUAGUUUGACUGGGGCGGUCUCCUCCUAAAGAGUAACGGAGGAGCACGAAGGUUGGCUAAUCCUGGUCGGACAUCAGGAGGUUAGUGCAAUGGCAUAAGCCAGCUUGACUGCGAGCGUGACGGCGCGAGCAGGUGCGAAAGCAGGUCAUAGUGAUCCGGUGGUUCUGAAUGGAAGGGCCAUCGCUCAACGGAUAAAAGGUACUCCGGGGAUAACAGGCUGAUACCGCCCAAGAGUUCAUAUCGACGGCGGUGUUUGGCACCUCGAUGUCGGCUCAUCACAUCCUGGGGCUGAAGUAGGUCCCAAGGGUAUGGCUGUUCGCCAUUUAAAGUGGUACGCGAGCUGGGUUUAGAACGUCGUGAGACAGUUCGGUCCCUAUCUGCCGUGGGCGCUGGAGAACUGAGGGGGGCUGCUCCUAGUACGAGAGGACCGGAGUGGACGCAUCACUGGUGUUCGGGUUGUCAUGCCAAUGGCACUGCCCGGUAGCUAAAUGCGGAAGAGAUAAGUGCUGAAAGCAUCUAAGCACGAAACUUGCCCCGAGAUGAGUUCUCCCUGAGACUUAGAGUCUCCUGAAGGAACGUUGAAGACGACGACGUUGAUAGGCCGGGUGUGUAAGCGCAGCGAUGCGUUGAGCUAACCGGUACUAAUGAACCGUGAGGCUUAACCUU